rnacentral:rRNA from 1 species
UACGGGGGGGCAAGCGUUGUUCGGAAUUACUGGGCGUAAAGGGCUCGUAGGCGGCCAACUAAGUCAGACGUGAAAUCCCUCGGCUUAACCGGGGAACUGCGUCUGAUACUGGAUGGCUUGAGUUUGGGAGAGGGAUGCGGAAUUCCAGGUGUAGCGGUGAAAUGCGUAGAUAUCUGGAGGAACACCGGUGGCGAAGGCGGCAUCCUGGACCAACACUGACACUGAGGAGCGAAAGCCAGGGAGCAAACAGG